AAAAAAAAAAAAAAAAAAAAGCAAGGGAUUCAUGCUUUGAAAUCUCCGAUCGAUCAUGCUGGCCAACUCUUCUGUUUCCGUCGAAUCACCGCCGAAGUAUGAUGUCUUCCUUAACUUCCGAGGGGAACAACUGCGGCGCAAUUUCGUCAGCCAUCUGGAGAAGGCCUUGAAAAUCGAUGGAAUCAACGUCUAUAUGGACAAAAUAGAGACUAAAGGUAAUGAUCUCAGCAUGUUAUUUACCAGAAUCGAGCAGUCGAGUAUUGCAAUCACGAUUUUCUCAACCCAGUACACCCAGUCACGUUGGUGCUUGGACGAGCUUGAUAAGAUCAAUCAAUGCGUCAAAUCAGGCAAACUUGUGGUCAUUCCCAUCUUCUACAAGGUGGACACGAACGAUGUGAAAAAUAUGGACGGAGUCUUUGGUGAGGAAUUCUGGAAAUUGGCUAAGGCUCGUGAAAGUGAAAGUGAAAAGUACAAAAACUGGAGAGACGCUAUUAAUGCUGUUUCUGGAAAGGUUGGCUUCACAUUAGGCGAGAAGGACGAUGAAGGUGAAUUCAUCGAUCAAAUUGUAGGAGACGUGAGGAAGCAACUAACCAACAUUUCGAUUCAUCGGGCAGAUGAAGGAGUAAGGCCUGAAGCUGCUUCUGACUCGCCUUCUUCUCUGUUCGGCAUCAAAACACGUCUCAAACAAUUGGAAGAGAAGUUAGAUUUUAAGUGCGAGGAUACUCUUACGAUUGGUGUUGUUGGGAUGCCGGGUAUUGGUAAGACCACCCUGAUGAAUGUGCUGUAUGAUAAGUUGCAAGAGGAGUUCCUACGCUGUGUUUUUAUUCGUGAUGUCCGUAAUAUUAACUUCAAAAGGGAUGGGAACAUUCUCAAGAAAGAGUUGUUGAGGGUUGAUGGCUUGGAUCAACAAGUCGAUAACAUGUCAGAUGAAUCCUUGAAGGCACUCCUAUUAAGUAAGCAAUUUAUUGUAAUUCUUGAUAAUGUGAGUGACAAGAAACAGAUAGAGGUUCUUCUCGGGAGACGUGACUGGAUUAAGAGAGGCAGCAGAAUCUUUAUCACCACAAGCGACAGGUCGGUGAUCGAGGGGAUGGUUGACGACACAUAUGUCGUCCAAAGGUUGUCUGGCAGAGACAGCUAUGAUUAUUUCCGCCGCUUUGCCUUUCGUGGUAAGCUUCAGGAGGGAAAUUUCAUGGAUCAUUCUAGAUUGUUUGUGGAUUAUGCUGAAGGAAACCCGUCCGUUCUCAUGAUAUUGGGUAAUGACCUUAAUGGACAAGAAAAGACUUCCUGGGAAAAGAAACAUGAAGCGCUGAAACAAAGUCCCAACGAGAUGAUAAGAAUUUUUUUGCGGAAAAGCUAUGAUGAGCUAUGUCAGCUUCAAAAAGAUGUGUUUCUCGAUGUCGCAUGUUUCUUUAGAUCAGGGGAUGAGUAUUACGUGAGGUGUUUAGUGGAGUCUUCUGACACUGAACCCAUUGAUGCUGUGAGUAAAAUAAAGGAUCUUGCCAGUAAAUUCUUGCUUAACAUUUAUGGCGGACGAGUGGAGAUGCAUGAUAUACUGUAUGCAUUUGGCAAGGAACUUGGUUCAGAAGAUUCGUGUAGGCUGUGGGACCAUCAAGGCGUUGUUGAUGCGUUGAAGAACAGAGCGGGAGCAGCCAGCGUGAGAGGUAUUUUUCUCGACAUGUCUAAACUGAAGAAGAAACUUCCUUUGGACAGUACUACCUUUGUCAAGAUGACCAAUCUUAGAUACCUGAAAUUCUAUAGUUGCUGUCAUCUGAAAUGUCAAGCUGAUUGCAAAUUUAACUUCCCAGAGGGACUUGAUUUUCCUAUGGAUGAGUUACGAUAUCUGUAUUGGCUGAAAUUCCCUUUGAAGAGACUUCCAAAAGACUUCAACCCCAAGAAUCUUACCGACCUUAACCUGCCUUACAGUGAGAUUGAAGAGGUCUGGGAGGGCCUUAAGGAUACACCAAAGUUAAAGUGGGUUGAUCUUAGCCACUCAAGAAAGUUAGGCAAUCUAUCAGGGUUUCUAAAUGCUGAAAGUCUCCAAAGAUUGAAUCUUGAAGGCUGCACGAGUUUGGAGGCUUUGCCUGAUGAGAUGAAACAUAUGAAAAGCCUUGUUUUCCUUAACAUGAGAGGAUGCGAGAAGCUCCGGGGUCUUCCGCAUAUGAAUCUGAUCUCUAUGAAAACUCUCAUCCUCACCAACUGCUCAAGCCUUGAGGAAUUCCAGGUGAUUUCAACUAAUCUAGAAACGCUACACUUAGAUGGAACUAAAAUUGGUCAACUUCCUGAAGACAUGGUGAAGCUCCAGAAACUGAUUGUAUUAAACUUGAAAGACUGCAAAGAGUUGAGGGCAGUUCCAGAAUUCCUGGGGAAGCUGAAGGCUCUGCAAGAACUUGUGCUAUCUGGUUGUUCAGGGCUCAAGACUUUUCCAGUUCCCGUUGAAAACAUGAAAUGCUUGCAUAUUUUAUUGCUCGACGGGACAGAAAUUAAAGAAAUCUCAAAGAUAUUUCAGUGCAGUAACUCAACAGUAGAAGAUCUGUGCGAAUUAAGACGUGGUAUGAAUGGCUUAUCCUCAUUGAGACGUCUAUGCUUAAGUAGGAACGAAAAGAUCAGGAAUCUGCAACUCGACAUCAAUCAACUGUAUCAUCUGAAACGGCUUGACCUGAAGUACUGCAAGAAUCUCACAUCAAUUUCAUCGCUUCCACUCAAUCUAGAGAUCUUAGAUGCACAUGGCUGCGACAAACUGAAAACAAUCGCUUUACCCAUUGCCCUGCUUAAGCUUAUGGAGCAGGUUCAGUCUAAAUUCAUUUUCACCAACUGCAACAAUCUGGCACAAGUUGCAAAGAGUAGCAUCACAGCGUAUGCUCUAAGGAAACUCCAGCUAGAUGCACUUAGAUGCGAUAAAGAGGGAAUUGUAUCAAAAGCUUUGCUCAUCACUUGUUAUCCAGGAAGUGAAGUACCUUCAUGGUUUAGAUAUCAAUCAUUCGGAUCUGAAUUAAAGCUGAAGUUUCCGCCACACUGGUUUGACAACAGGCUUUCAACAUUAGUUCUAUGCGCUGUUGUCAAAUUCCCUCCCGAUGAAAUCAACCGUUUCUCUAUAGAGUGCACUUGUGAGUUAAAUAAACUUGGGACAUGUAUACGUUUCAGUUGCACUCUUGAUGGAGGUUGGAUCGAACCACGCAAGAUUGAUUCGGACCAUGUGUUUAUCGGUUAUUCACACAUGACAAAACAUCUAGAAGGGUCGUUGAAGUCGCAAGAACAUCUAGAAGGGUCGUUGAAGUUGCAAGAACAUCUAGAAGGGUCGUUGAAGUCGCAAGAACAUCAUAAAUAUGAUACUACAGAGGUUUCCAUCAAAUUUAAAGUGAGAAAUGGAGCAGGUGAGAUUGUGAAUUGUGGGUUAAGUUUGGUGUACGAGGAACAAGACCAUGUCGUUGUUGAAGGGAACCGUAAUGAAACUAAACGGCGUCGGUUAAGUUAAGUUUGACAAAAAGGUCUUCUUCAGCUUUGACAAAAAGGAAAACUAAACGGCGUCGGUUAAGUUAAGUGGUGUUCUUGAAUUGAGGAAUUGGGUUUUGUAAACAUUGCUCUUGGAUUUGAUUGGUAACUUUCAACCGCCUCAUUUGCAUACGAACCAUCUUGAAAGUUACCAAUCAACAGAUGCACAUGGCUGCGACAAACUGAAAACAAUCGCGUUACCCAUUGCCCUGCUUAAGCUUAUGGAGCAGGUUCAGUCUAAAUUCAUUUUCACCAACUGCAACAAUCUGGAACAAGUUGCAAAGAAUAGCAUCACAACGUAUGCUCAAAGGAAACUCCAGCUAGAUGCACUUAGAUGCGAUAAAGAGGGAACUGUUUCAAAAGCUUUGCUCAUCACUUGUUUUCCAGGAAGUGAAGUACCUUCAUGGUUUAACUAUCAAACAUUUGGGUCUGAACUAAAGCUGAAGUUUCCGCCACAUUGGUGUGACAACAGGCUUUCAACAUUGGUUCUAUGGGCUGUUGUCAAAUUCCCUCAAGAUGAAAUCAACCGUUUCUCAAUAGAGUGCACUUGUGAGUUAAAAAACAAACUUGGGACAUGUAUACGUUUCAGUUGCACUCUUGGUGGAGGUUGGAUCGAACCACGCAAGAUUGAUUCGGACCAUGUGUUUAUCGGUUACACAAGUUGCUCACACAUAACAAAACAUCUAGAAGGGUCUUUGAAGUCGCAAGAACAUCAUGAAUGCGUUCCUACAGAGGCUUCAAUCGAAUUUGAAGUAAGAGAUGGA